UACGAAGGGGGCUAGCGUUGUUCGGAUUUACUGGGCGUAAAGCGCACGUAGGCGGAUUGGUCAGUUAGGGGUGAAAUCCUGGAGCUCAACUCCAAAACUGCCUUUAAUACUGCCAGUCUCGAGUCCGGAAGAGGUAAGUGGAACUCCUAGUGUAGAGGUGGAAUUCGUAGAUAUUAGGAAGAACACCAGUGGCGAAGGCGGCUUACUGGUCCGGUACUGACGCUGAGGUGCGAAAGCGUGGGGAGCAAACAGG
rnacentral:rRNA from 1 species